AACGCGCGAAGAUCUCCUCCGCCAAGCGUAGAAUCGUUAGAAUGAUUUUGUCGCUCGAUUUAGACAAGUCGUUCUCACGCAGCAAUUUAAAGCAUUGUAAACACAAAGUUGAAGAUCAGCCUUAAAUUGAACUCUAAAUAUUAAAGUACAGUAAACAGGAAUAACAGUUUAUAUUUUUCAUUUCCGCGCCUUGCGAGCGGAGCGCCUCCGCGCUCCACGGAUUAUCGUAUCUACGCCUUUAAUUCCCCAAAUAUCCCUAUCUUCCGCGAGCGGACACGCAACAGUUAGACUUCUUGUAGGGGGGAAUUUCCGACCCCUGGCGCUAAUUGAGGGCUCGUCGUCGCCGCUGCGACGGGACCGUCGCAGAGAAUUUUUGGAGAGGGGAUUGGCCGGUGAUCGGGAUCGGUAGGGCUGACGGGUUCGGCGAUGCUGGCUACGGGCUGAGGGUCCUCGGGCCCGACGGUAGAUGGUCCCACGGUGUCCUUUUGUGGGGGGCUGAAGGGUCGUCGUCGACAUCGGGACGGGGUCCUCCGGGAGUUGAGGUUGCAGCAUCGUUGUCCAGUCUUUCCGUUGCCCCUACUGGCCCAAUACCGGCGGGUGGGAGAAAGGGAUACGGGUUAGGAAAGGGGUAUUAAGGUACAAGGCACGUGGUGGGCGAAAAUCUGGAUUAUUGUAACGGGGGGGCACUCGUGCCACCAUGUUACAAUGUAUAAAAUUGUUAUUUAUGCAAAGUUUUGAAUAUGUAUAAAGUAAAGUUAUGAUAAAAUAAGUAGAAAAUAAACUAAUUUAAAUUAAUUGAUUAUGUUUUAUUUUCUCUGAUUUACAUACAAAUUUUCAUUUACAGUUUAUGUAACAGUCUUUAGUACGUAUCUGUCUAAUGAAAAGUUACAUAUAAAUUAUUAUGAGCGUCUAUCAUGAAGUGAACUCAUAACUUACAAACUAUAUACUUCCUUUUUUUAUACAUUUUUAUAUUUGUCUUACUUAAUUCAUGCAUUAAUAUUUAGUGUAUACAUUGCAAUAGAUUGAAAAAUUUUUAUUUUCGUUUAAAAAUAGUCGUUCAAUAAUACAUUAUACUGUACUAUCUUAUUUGCAAAAACUGUGAAUGUGAACAUCUCUUAAAUUUAUUUAUCAUUUGUAAUGUUCCAUUGAACGUAUCUAAAUUCAUAUUGCUUCUAGAAGAGGCCAUGCUAUUAAUGUAAUAUUUUUCUACGAACAGAUACACUUUUAUAGCUGUUAUAUUAUAAUAUAUGUUAUUACUAUUAAUAUUCUAUGAAAUUUGUAAUAAAUGAUUUUAAAAUAAAGCACUAAAAUAAAUUGUGGAUGAUUUUGAAAAAACAUGCAGUUUUUAGACUAGAAGAUAGAAGUAUCGAAAAGCCUGGAAUGUGAAAUUCUAUUUAGAAACAAUAAUGUACAUUGAAUUUAGCAAAUUUGGUAAAUAGAAUGUGCAACACAAAACAAGAAUUUGAUAUUAAAAAUAUACACAUCAAAGGUUCAAUAAAAAAUCUAAACAUUUACAUUUAUAGCAAUAAAUGUUUGAUAUUUAUACUGCAUCUGUUACCCUUAAAUACGGAGCCGAACAGUACAGUAUAAAGAUAGCAGUUAAAUUAUAAAUUAUUGUUAAGAAAAAUUUAUUGUAAAUAUAUAAUGUUACAUUAAUAAACCAU